AUUGAACGCUGGCGGCAGGCUUAACACAUGCAAGUCGAGCGAGCGGCGGACGGGGGUGUAAUGUCUGGGAAACUGCCUGAUGGAGGGGGAGAACUGCUGGAAACGGUAGCUAAUACCGCAUACCAUCAGAUGUGCCCAGAUGGGUUUAGCUAGUGGGUGGGGUAAUGGCGCACCUAGGCGACGAUCCCUAGCUGGUCUGAGAGGAUGACCAGCCACACGGGAACUGAGACACGGUCCAGACUCCUAUGGGAGGCAGCAGUGGGGAAGAUUGCACAAUGGACGCAAGCCUGAUGCAGCCAUGCCGCGUGUGUGAAGAAGGCCUGCGGAUUGUAAAGCACUUUCAGCGAGGAGGCGUUACUCGCAGAAGAAGCACCGGCUAACUCCGUGCCAGCAGCCGCGGUAAUUC
rnacentral:rRNA from 1 species